GACUAACGCUGGCGGCGUGCCUAACACAUGCAAGUCGAACGGGGCCCUGGUUCGCCAGGGUCUAGUGGCAGACGGGUGAGUAACACGUAGGUAAUGUACCCUCUUGCUGGGGAUACCCGUCCGAAAGGAUGGUUAAUACCGAAUGAGCCACGACCGGGGCAUCCUGGUGGUGGCAAACUGGCAACGGGCGAGAGGAUCAGCCUGCGGACCAUCAGCUGGUUGGUGGGGUAACGGCCUACCAAGGCGACGACGGUUAGCCGGUUUGAGAGGACGAUCGGCCACACUGGGACUGAAACACGGCCCAGACUCCUACGGGAGGCAGCAGUGAGGAAUAUUGCGCAAUGGGCGAAAGCCUGACGCAGCGACGCCGCGUGAGGGAUGAAGGCCUUCGGGUCGUAAACCUCUGUCAGUGGGAGAGAACGGACGGUACCCACUGAGGAAGCGAUCGGCUUACUACGUG
rnacentral:rRNA from 1 species